GGGAGAUGGUCCACAAUCAGGCGUCCGAUGGCCGCUGGCAAUGGCGCCCGGGAGCAGACGGACUGACAUUCUGCUCGCCGUCGAACAUAUCUGCCGGGCUUCAUUCCAUCGUGCCACCAUUCUUCGACGCGUCCAGAACGAGCCUAUGGCGUCAACCACCGUUUGCGUUGCUGCUCAUCGGGUUGAUCGCCGUUCUCGCGACGCUGGUGUGGGUCGUGCGGUUCAUCACAACCAAGAUCUUCCUCGCUGAUGUCAUCGAGCCUCUCUCUUCGGAACGGAGUGAGGAUCUUCGCGAGAUCUGGGCCCCGAACCUCUUCCUCGUGGGCGAAGCGCCACUGGCUUCGGAAAUUCCCGAACUGGCCUUCUGCAAAAUCGAUCUCAGCAACGCUCCGCGGGAUGCGGCGGCGCGCAACCAGUGGUUCGGCGCUCAGCUCACACGCGUCGAACAGUCUGCCGUGCGGCAGAACGUGCUCAUGCUGCACUACGAACGCAAGGACGAUGAGGCGUUCGCCGAGCAGAAGCUCGCUCUACUCGAACGUAUCAUCAACACCUUGAAUCGGACCCUCGUCGUGGUCUCAGCCGUGCCCCCCUCCGUGGCGCGUGCCACGGCAGCAGCCGAUCGACAGGACACUGUGCAGGCGGACUUGACGCAUCGGUGGGACGCCGUGAUGUCGCGAUUCACGGUCGUUCCGGUCAUACCGGUCGCGCCGCCGCCCGCCAUGUCAUCGCCGGCGUCGGUGUUCGGCGGGUGGAGCGGCGCCGGGUGGCGGGAAGUCGUGUGGCGCAUCAGCGCGCUCGGUUUCUCGCACAGCG
rnacentral:misc_RNA from 1 species